rnacentral:rRNA from 1 species
UUAAUGUCCUAGGUUCCGUAGGUGAACCUGCGGGAAGG